rnacentral:rRNA from 1 species
GAUGAACGCUGGCGGCGUGCCUAAUACAUGCAAGUCGAGCGAACAGACGAGGAGCUUGCUCCUCUGACGUUAGCGGCGGACGGGUGAGUAACACGUGGAUAACCUACCUAUAAGACUGGGAUAACUUCGGGAAACCGGAGCUAAUACCGGAUAAUAUAUUGAACCGCAUGGUUCAAUAGUGAAAGACGGUUUUGCUGUCACUUAUAGAUGGAUCCGCACCGCAUUAGCUAGUUGGUAAGGUAACGGCUUACCAAGGCAACGAUGCGUAGCCGACCUGAGAGGGUGAUCGGCCACACUGGAACUGAGACACGGUCCAGACUCCUACGGGAGGCAGCAGUAGGGAAUCUUCCGCAAUGGGCGAAAGCUUGACGGAGCAACGCCGCGUGAGUGAUGAAGGUCUUCGGAUCGUAAAACUCUGUUAUUAGGGAAGAACAAAUGUGUAAGUAACUAUGCACGUCUUGACGGUACCUAAUCAGAAAGCCACGGCUAACUACGUG